rnacentral:misc_RNA from 1 species
AAGUCGUAACAAGGUUUCCGUAGGUGAACCUGCGGAAGGAUCAUUACGAAACGCCCCGGGGGACUUGCGGCCACUGGACAGGACUCGUUCCCGAAGGUUGGUUAGCGGGAUACCGGGGACCCGAAUCGUUCGGGACCACCCUGUUUAUGAGUACCAACCGUUUCCUCGGCGGGCCAGCCCGCCAGCGAGGACCCAAUAAAACCUUUGCAAUGAGCAGUCAGUCAGUAAAAUAAUAAUUUGUCACAACUUUCAACAAUGGAUCUCUUGGCUCUG